UCGACCUAGUCCAGGCACAAGU
rnacentral:rRNA from 1 species